GUUUCUUCCUCAGCUUGGGGCCAGCCCAGACUGCAUGUGGUUUCCUCUCACUGUGUGUGCCUGCAUGUGUGUGUGUGUGUGUGUGUGUGUGUGUGUGUGUGUGUGUACAAAUGUGCAUGUGUGUUAGUUAUUUGCCUUUUACUGGCUCCGGGGUUUCUGUCCACCAGAGGAGCCCAGGGCUCUCUCUCAGACCUGCCCAACCUGCCGAGAAGUUCUGGGACCCAGCUGGAUGCCAGUGGACACCCCACCGGCUGCCCCAGAAUGCGCUGAAAGUCAUUGAGAGGCACUGCUCCAACAGGACAAUUAUUUCUCGAGAAAGGGGAGAUUUGGCAUCCAGAUGCAGUUCUCCAAACCCAUCGCUGGCAACCCUCCACACCUCGCUGGGCCUCAGUUUCCCACUUCUUUUUGGAGACCACCAGGGUCUACGUCAUCCUACCUCAUGGGUUGGUACAAGGCUUGAGGGGCUGGGAGAGAUGUGAGAUGCCCAUUCAACCCGUUCCAGUUGAUCCUUACAUGAGCACCCACAGUGACCGGAUUUGGGCUCUGUGCAAGUGUCAUGCCAGACUCUGAGACCCGCAGGUGGCAAGACUACCCUCCACCCCUGUCAGCUCACAGGCUGUUCUUGAUUCUACAAGUGGACUUCAGGUCAGUGUGUUUUUUUGUGCCCGUGUCCUAGAGCCCGCUCGCCUGUGAAUUUUUGGUGAUGGGGUUUGUAACAUGCUUGCCUCCUCCUCCGCCCGCUGCCGCCCCUUUCCCAAUUUCCCAACCCCUGCAGCACUCGCUCUGCAGGAGAAGGGGGACCUAACACCCCCGUCCAUAUGGCAGUUGGAGCCAAAGAUCAGAGGAGUGAGUGGUUUACCAAGACUGCAUAGCAAGAUGGUGGCCAGGGCUCCUGCCUUUCUUUUUAAUAUCUUAUCAAAAUUUAAUGUAUGUUUAUCCUUAACAUGUGGAAUAGUAUAAAAAAUUGCACACUGAAUAACUGAUGUUCAUUAAGCACCCCCCCCCGAAAAAAAGGAAAAAAAAGGAGGAUUUUUGCAUUGUUUCAGCUACAUUAUUGGAAAUACAAAUCUGCAGACUUGGUCACGGGAGAAAAAUCUGAAUUGUGUUUCUUUAUCAGGGAUUUCAACUGCACUCAGGACUUUUUCACACCCCAGUUAGAAAGAAAACACAACAAUAACCAAAAGCAGGAAAAAAAAAAAAAUCAACCAGAAGUUCCUUGGCUCCUGAGACGGUAAGGGCUGGUCUCUGUGGUGCCAAGAGAGGUAAUGUCUGGCAAGAGAUUAAAUGGCUGUGUCUCACUUUGUGCCAGUCACCAACUUGCUAACUCAUGAAACUACAAAAGGGGUGGCUGGGAGUGGACCAAAUGGUAGGCACCCAGAGGCUGUGUGCAGCAGGGACAACACAUGUACACACAGAAUUCAUUUCUUUCCCAUCAAUGUCCCCAAAGCAGAGAGACCAGGGACACUCCAAGCUUGAGUGCCCAGGACAGGCACUGUGUCACUGGCAUGGCUGGGCUGCCCCUGGAAUCACAUCACUUGUUGGGGGAGAGGGUUCAGGAGGCCUCCUGGGGGGGGCCUUCCCAGAGCCUCUGUGCACCAAGUCUGAAGGACCUGGAUCUCUGUGUCAUCCAAGGCCCGUUCGGGGGCAGGCAGGACACCCUGCCUGGCCUGGCCUUCCUGCCCUUCGUCACGACAGGGGAGAGGCCUCAUCUCUGGCUUUCCCCAAACACUCUGUCCUUGAGUGCUUCCACAGAGGUCACCAGCUGGAGAGUUGGGGGCUUUGUGUGGCCUGUGGACAGGUUUUAUUGUAUGUAUUUUUUUGAAAAAGUGAUUGCUAGCCAUAUUGAAACACUGUGUUC
ensembl:lncRNA